UUUUAGUCUAAGCAGCUGGCUGGAUGGUGGUGUCAUUUCAUUGGGUUGAGGAAGGAACUGAUUUUGAGGAGAAAAAUCAAUAAUUUUGUUUUGAACAUGUUAAGUUUGAGAGGCUAAGUAGAAUUGAUAAGAAAGUGGUUCCAAAUAUAUGUCAUGAACUCAGGGUAGAGGUUAAGGCAAUAAAUUUUGGUAUCAGGAGCAUAUGGUUGAUAUUUAAAAACCACAGGACUGGACAAAACUAACCCAGGAAAGAGAGUGUAGAUAGAGAGCCCAGUACUGGACAUGACCACAAUUAGAAGAGAAACAGCAAAGGAGACUAAGAAGAAACCAGCAGUGAAAUAUGAGAAAUAGAAAAGUGUUGUGUUAAAAGUCUAGAAAGAAAAUUAUUCAGGGAGGGAAGAUGGAAAAAGAGAGUGACCUUGAAAUUUAGCCAUACAGAGGGAGUUGAUGAUCUUGACAAGCAAUUCAUUGAAAGGAAGAGAUGGAAUCCUGAUUGGAAUUGGUUAAGAAAAACACAGCAGAUGUCUGGUAUUGAUGAGUUUUUU
rnacentral:lncRNA from 1 species